rnacentral:lncRNA from 10 species
UCUGUUUCUUCCUCAUUUUCAAGUCUUUGCACAAAGCUUAUCCUCUCUGACCUGUCUAUCUAAAAUCAUUAGCUCCUGCCCUGGUAUUUUUUCUUUCUCUUUAUCACUUGAAUUUUUUCUCCCAUAGACACACCACAUAUUUCACUGACUUAUGUAUUUAUUGUCUGUCUUCCUCUAUGAGAAUAUAAACUUCAUGAGGAUGGCAUUUUUGUCUGUUUUGUGGACACAAGAGCCUGAUGUAAAUUAGGCGCCCAACAAAUCUUCACUGAAUGACAUGAUAAAUAAAAGAGAAGCACCCACCUUUAUUUCUUGGUUGCCUCCUCCCUGACUUUGGCCUCUCCAUCUCCUCCCCAGCAUGGCUGCUUAUGCGAGGCAAGGGCAAGCUAUGUAACCUUGGUUGCUUCUGAGAAGGCUUAACUUUCUAGAGCCUCCAACUGUGUGUGGUCUAUACACCAGCACCAUCAGCCUCACCUGGGAGCUGGUGAGAAAUGACUCUCAGGCUCCACUCACACUGCAUCUCAACAAGAUCCCGGUGAAUUCAUAUGCACAUUAAAUUCCAGGGAGCCCUCCUCUAGGCUAUUUGACCCUAGCUCAAGAAAGGGGGAUUAAGAGUCUUACAGGGAGGGAUCCAAGGUCAGCAUAUACAGUUAGUCAGGGACCAGUCUGUCUGUGUCUCUCUCUCCAUGGGGUUUACUAUCAUUGCUUUCCCCUAAUGGUUCUUACUCCUGCUUCUUCCUGCUUAUUUUUCAGCCCACAGCGACCCCAAGAAGCUGCUCCAACCCCUGGGACUAUGGAGCUCUACAGCUGUAGAGACCACCAGGAAGUGGACUGCAGGCCCCUGGCCUCUCCAUUCAGAUUCUGCAAAGAGAUCCUGAUGGGUUGGGCCAAUGGGUCAGGCAUCCAGUCAGCUCUGGCUAAGGGGUGAAGGAGUCAGGUGUUACCAACGUGGUGGCAGGGGCCACCUUGAAGCUGUGUUCUGUGCCAUGGAAGAAGGAAGAGGAGGAGGAAGCUAAGCUGGAAGGGAAGGCUCCUGGAGUCAGUAGUUGGAAUCUCAGAUGGGAAGAAACCUUAAAAGUCAUCUGGUCCAGUAUUUUCCAAAGCAUGUUCCAUGAACUUGUUUUCCAGAAAUGGUUUCCUGGUCUGGUGAGUGGGAGUUCGAUGAGAGUGGCAGUUGUCUAUUUUGUUCACCGAUGUAUCUUAGGUGACUAAAACAAUGGUUGUCACAUGGCUGGCCCUUCAUAUUUGUUUCCAGAUGGAAGACUCUCUUUCUAGUGGUGGAACAUUAGUUUUGCACUGUGUUGGGACAACCUGAUGUAGUGAAAACAAGCCUGGGCAAUGAAAUCAACAGAUUGGAGUUCAGUUCCUAAUUGGGUCAUGGAUGAACUUUGUGACCUUGGGCAAGUGAGUUCACCUCUCUGAGUUGAAUAGGUUCCCUCCUUUCUAGAACAAGUAUGAGUCUGCAUCAGAGAGUGGUUGCGAGGGCUACACAUGAUGGAGGAUGAGGACUGGCACAUCAGAAGUACUGAAUGAAGAAUUGUAACAUAAAAAUGACAACAGUAAUAUAUUUUUGUGGUUUCAGCACUCUUCAAAUGAAACCACCUGGCCAACAGGAUUUUAGUGUACCUGCUUAUAACAUUAGCCUUCGUUUCCACCAAAAAGGGUGUUAAAAAAGGAAGCUUGGAACAUGAAAGUAAGACACUUGGAUGAAGAGAUUUAUGACUCUGGGGGGCUGUGAAUUCCUAAUGUCCUUUUGAGACAUGUAGAUCUUCCAGAGCGAUGCUGCCCAAUGCAGUAGCCACUAGCCAAGUGCAAAUGGUCACUUGCAAUAUGGCUAGUCUUUGAGAUGUGUUUUAAGUGUAAAAUACACACUGAAUUUUAAAGACUUAGCGCAAUACAAAGAAUGUAAAAUAUCUCAUUAUAUCUUGAAAUUAUACUAUUUUGGAUAUAUGGUGUUCCCUUGGUGUCUUUGGGGACUGGUUCCAGGAUCCUAGAGGAUACCCAAAUCCCCAGAUGUCAAGUCCGCUAUAUAAAAUGUCCUGUAGUAUUUGCAUAUAACCUACACACAUCCUUCUGAAUACUUUAAAUCAUCUCUAGAUUCCUUGUAAUUCCUAAUACAAUGUAAAUGUUAUGUAAAUAGUUGUUAUACUAUAUUAAAAAGUUUUUUAUUCUUUAUUUUUGCUGUAUUAUUCUUUUUGCAUAUUUUCAGUCCACAGAUGGUUGAUGCCACAGAUGUGGAACCUGUGAAUAAGGAGGGCUGACUGUAUUGAGU